UGUUUCGGCUAGGGGGCCAUCCCGGCUUACCAACCCGAUGCAAACUGCGAAUACCGGAGAAUGUUAUCACGGGAGACACACGGCGGGUGCUAACGUCCGUCGUGAAGAGGGAAACAACCCAGACCGCCAGCUAAGGUCCCAAAGUCAUGGUUAAGUGGGAAACGAUGUGGGAAGGCCCAGACAGCCAGGAUGUUGGCUUAGAAGCAGCCAUCAUUUAAAGAAAGCGUAAUAGCUCACUGGUCGAGUCGGCCUGCGCGGAAGAUGUAACGGGGCUAAACCAUGCACCG
rnacentral:rRNA from 2 species